CCCCUGGUCUCACCGGGUCCUUUGGCUUUGCUCCAGGUUCGUCACCUUUUACCCAGGGGAUGUCAUCCUGACUGGGACCCCCCCAGGUGUCGGUGUAUUCAGGAAACCUCCUGUCUUUCUCAAGAAGGGGGAUGAAGUCCAGUGUGAGAUUGAAGAACUAGGUGUCAUCAUCAACAAGGUGGUGUGAUGGCUCCUGCACAGGCCCUGGACAUAGGAUGGGGGCAUCUGCUCCCACUCAGCCUAGCCCAGGGAAAGGCCCAGUGACAGGUAUGGGCAGGUGCCGGCCCGGAAGCCGCCUCUUCUGGGUAGAAGGGAGGAGGACAGAGCUCUCUUCAAUAAAUUUGUCAGGCCAAAGCAGCA